UACGUAGGGAGCAAGCGUUGUCCGGAAUCAUUGGGCGUAAAGCGCGCGUAGGCGGCCUCAUAAGUCCGUUGUGAAAGUCAAAGGCUCAACCUUUGAAAGCCGGUGGAUACUGUGGGACUAGAGUACGGAAGAGGCGAGUGGAAUUCCUGGUGUAGCGGUGGAAUGCGCAGAUAUCAGGAGGAACACCAAUAGCGAAGGCAGCUCGCUGGGACGUUACUGACACUGAGGCGCGAAAGCGUGGGGAGCGAACAGG
rnacentral:rRNA from 1 species